AUCCUUUUGUAGUUCAUAAGUGUAAUGAUUGGGUUUUCAUGCGCAUGUGUGAGAUGUGCCUCCCACAAAUCUUGUUACGACAGCACAUUACCCGUCUGAUG
ensembl:snoRNA